rnacentral:lncRNA from 1 species
ACAAUACACACAAUAACACAUUAUAAAUACGACGAUAAUAAUUCACAAGUAACAUCAUCAUCAUCAUAAAUUCUUCGUGUACAUGACAGACAAGACAUGCGCGCACACGUCGAGACGCAUGCGCGCACGCCCGCUUCGCACGUACACAUGCGGUACCAGUUCGUGAACGCGACCAGCGCGCGCGGCCGCGCAUGCGUUGACGGAAGGAUGCAAGAAGUGUGCGGACCACCGGCCCCGGGCCCUCUCAACCUUUAUGCGAGUACCUACAUACAUACAUACAUAACUGUGCACCCGUACCGGCACCGUCUACUAUCUACUGUCGUCAAUUAGGAUGCAGUAUGGAUCGCAGACACAUCUCAUCGUCCAGUUUUCCAGUUUCCACCAGCCAUACCACCAGCUAUGACCAGGCACCAGACGCCAGCGGCGCUUCCUCAACGUUAUGCUUAAACGCCACACUAUAUAUGUACAGGGUGAAGGUUUCUUUUUAUAAUAAUUUAUAAAUAAUUAUAUAGAAAAAGUUAAAAACAAUUUUACCUGUGAAAAUUUUAUUAUCUAAAAUGUUCCAGUUUAACUGUAAUAGAUGGCGCUGUACCGUAACUUGAAUGUUUUCAAAAUUAUAUAUUUUUAUUGUGUACCUACCUUGUAAUUAUAAUUAUUAUAAAUAAAAAAUAUUAUAUCGCACGUUCAGAAUCGAAUCGUUACUAAACGGAA